rnacentral:rRNA from 1 species
AUAAGCUACUAAGGGCCUAGGGUGGAUGCCUAGGCGCCAGGAGAAUGAAGGACGUGGUUACCUGCGAUAAGCCACGGGAAGUCGGAAGCUGACGUUAUACCCGUGGAUCUCCGAAGGGGAAACCCGGCUGGACCUUAAAUCCAGUCACCGCCGGUUGAAUUCAUAGACCGGUUGGUAAUACACCCGCUGAAGUGAAACAUCUCAGUAAGCGGAGGAAAAGAAAGCGAAUGCGAUUCCGUAAGUAGUGGCGAGCGAAAGCGGAACAGGCUAAACCAGCGAGGCUUGCCUUGCUGGGGUUGUGGGACCUGCAAUAUGGCAUUGUGGAAGGUGAAAUGAAGCGUUCAGGAAAGUUCGCGCCAAAGAGGGUGACAGCCCCGUAAUGGAUCCGGAAACAGUCUAGCAGGCACCCGAGUAGCACGGGAUAAGUGGAACCCUGUGUGAAUCUGCGCAAACCAUUGCGUAAGCCUAAAUACUACCUGGCGACCGAUAGUGUACCAGUACCGUGAGGGAAAGGUGAAAAGCACCCCGGGAAGGGGGGUUAAAAGUACCUGAAACCCUUGGCCUACAAGGUGUCGGAGCCGUCUUCGGGCGGUGACGGCGUGCCUUUUGCAUAAUGAGUCAGCGAGUUAUUGUUCGUGGCAAGCCUAAGGGCCUAUGGUCCGGAGGCGAAGCGAAAGCGAGUGUGAAUAGCGCGACCCUAGUCGCGAGCGAUAGACCCGAAACGGAGGUGAUCUAACCAUGGUCAGGUUGAAGCUGCAGUAACAUGCAGUGGAGGACCGAACCAGUGUACGUUGAAAAGUGCUUGGAUGAACUGUGGUUAGGAGUGAAAGGCUAAUCAAACCCCGUAAUAGCUGGUUCUCUCCGAAAUAGCUUUAGGGCUAGCGUCAGGUAAUGAACUCCAGGGGGUAGAGCACUGAAUGGCUUAGGGCCCAUACCAGGGUACCAAAACCAAUCAAACUCCGAAUACCUGGAUACCAUAUCCCUGGCAGUCAGACUGCGGGUGAUAAGAUUCGUAGUCGAAAGGGAAACAGCCCAGAUCGCCGGCUAAGGUGCCUAAACUGAAUUAAGUGGAAAGGAUGUGAAUUCGCAUAGACAGAGAGGAUGUUGGCUUAGAGGCAGCCAUCAUUUAAACAUAGCGUAACAGCUGACUCAUCGAGCGAGUUUGCGCCGAAAAUGAUUGGCGAUUAAAUUCAGUACCGAAGCCGCGGAUUAAUGAUUCCCACGGGAUUCAUUAGUGGUAGGAGAGCGUCGUGCACACCUCGAAGCGCAACCGUAAGGGAACGUGGAGUGUGGAAGAGUGAGGAUGCUGACAUGAGUAGCGAUAAAACAGGUGAGAAUCCUGUUCGCCGUAAACCCAAGGUUUCCUAGGAUGUUUAAUCCACCACGGGUUAGUCGGGACCUAAGGCGAGGCCGUAGGGCGUAGUCGAUGGAAAGCAGGUUAAUAUUCCUGCACCGGCAGGUGACUAUCACGGAAGGGACGCGGCACUGGAGGCAAACAGGUAUACUGUAUUCUGAGUUUAGGCUUCGGCCGAAACGUAUUGCCAAAGGUGUUGCCUAGAAAAGCUUCCGCUUUACUACACCUGUCGCCCGUACCAUAAACCGCCACAGGUGGGUGGGUCGAGUAGACCAAGGCGCGCGAGAGAAACCUCUCUAAGGAACUCUGCAAAUUAGCCCCGUAACUUCGGAAGAAGGGGUGCCUCCCUGGCUUGCCAGGAGGUCACAGUAAAGGGGGUCUGGCGACUGUUUACCAAAAACACAGCUCUCUGCUAAGUUGUUAAGACGAUGUAUAGGGAGUGACACGUGACCAAUGCGGAAAGAUCAAGGUGAGUCGUUAGCCGUAAGGCGAGGCGGUGAACCCAAGUCCCCGUGAAUGUCGGCCGUAACUAUAACGGUCCUAAGGUAGCGAAAUUCCUUGUCGGGUAAGUUCCGACCUGCACGAAUCGUGUAACGACCGGACCGCUG